ensembl:lncRNA
AAUGACCACAGUGUACUUUAUUUAAUGAUUUUGGUACCUUGUGUUGCAAUAAAAUAAAAAAAAAAUCUACAAAAUCCAAAUAUAUAAAAUUUUCAAGUUUCCCUUUUAAGUUUUACAAGAAAAAUCAAGUUGUAACCAAGGAAAUUUGUUAGUAUGAAGCACUACUUUCAACUUCAUUUCAUCACAAAUUGCAACUUACUUAACAGACCAAAAUAACUAUGGUACUGCAGCACAUCAAUUACUUCACACACUGUGUUCUUUACUAUAGCACAUGUAACCUCCACCACAGGAGGCAGCGGUCUCUAGCCAAUAAAGACACUCUUCACAAUCUGAGCUCUAAAGGAAUGUUUGUAUACAUGGAUUCAGAAUAUAUAUAUUUACAGGAAGAUUUCUUUUUAUUUUUCUUUUUUUUUUAAUAACUAUCUUGAUUCUUCAUUUCAAAUAAAAUACCAAAUACAUUUUUACAAUGUUUACAAGUCAAAGCACAAAGUUCUGCAAUGAUUAUCAUUCACCUAUAGUCACUGUGCUUGUACUGGGGUGGGGGAGAGGGGGCAUCUACACUGUUCCAUAAACACAAAUGUGAUCUUCCAUCACUUUAUUUCCGCAGUGGUGACUAAGAAGUAUAAGCACAGUAACAAUUCUUUUAGCACAAUCAGUGUAUAAUGCAACAGUUUACAACAGACAACUGAGAAACUAUUGGUCCACUCUGUUCAAUUUGCUGUUUAUCUGCCAACUGUUAUGUUAGUCUUUGUCACAUAAAUUGUGUACAAGAGAAGAAUUAAAGAACACAACUUGAAUAGGAAAGAGCAUACAUUUUUAAGGCAAAUUAAUAAGCAGCUUAUGAUGGUUUUUUGUUAAACUAUACCCCAACACAACCUAAAAAUAAAAUGUAUGUUCUGCAACUGUCAAUAAUUAUGACUUCUUAAACUGAUCUCCUCUAUAAAUUGAUCAACAUGGCUUUGAACCUGGUUAUUCAAAAUGGAACUAAUUCCUCCCCCCAAAUCCCCAAAUAUAGAAAGUGCAUGACUUCAUAUGCGCCAAAACAAAACAAAAGGCAGCUGAGGUAGUUAGAUGUAAAAGGUAUUUAUGAAAAAUAACUGGAAAACUAAAACAAGGACAUAUACAGUAAAAACCCACUCACUUGGAAUUAAUUUUAUAUCAGACAACAACUUAAAGCAGGAAAAUUUAUGACUUCUGAAAAAAAAGUAGUAAUAACAUACGAAUGAAAACAGAAUAUACUAUUGGAGUUUUAAUUUCAAGUAUUUGAGAGUAUUUGCAUGUGCAUUUUUUUACAGGCUUUGUUUAGUAUUAGGAAGUCAUUUACUUUUUAUCAGGCAUCAUAUGAGAUCUGGUUGAUCUCUGGGAAUGAAGCUCCUGGAAGGUAGAAAUAUACUGUGAGUGCCUGAAGGUAUGUCAGCCACCGCGUGUGCCUGGAAGCAUCACCAUCUCACCUCGGGUGAACUUCUACACACCCAUUCUCUACUGAGCUCACCUGAGAGUGACAGGGCCAGGGGUCCUGUGCCUGUGCCUCCUGGGGACUGAUUGGACAGAUGUCCUGGGAGCCUGCCUGGGAUGUACACACCUGCCUGGAUCCAUGUGGGAUGUGCCGAUGUGGUGGGGAUCCCACACGAGACGUUCCUGCAGAGCUGGUGUGUAACCCGGGCAGUGCCCCUGUGCACCAAAGAGAGGAUCAGCUUCCACUUUGGAGCUCCUCACUGGCCUCUCCCUGUGCCCAGCACCAUUCCAUUCCAGCUCUCACGGGCACCUCUACUUAUCUGGAGAGGGGGCAGUGUUACAACUCCAGGAGACGGGACAGUCUCCAAGAAAGGGUUUGCUUCAGUCCACUGAGGAUGAAUUGGGAUUUUGGCUCACAUCAUGGUCCCAGGGCUCCACCAACAGCCCCUGGCACAGAGGCAGAUCCAGCUUUCCCUUCCAUUCCUGUCUAGAAAGAUAAGCAUACAGAUUUAUUUAACAAAAUGCCCGAAUGGAGUGCACAGGUGCAUGGAAAGUCUUCAAGCUCUGGGAAUAAAAUUCACAAAAAAUCCCGCCUACUUGUAGGAGACAGGUCAGUUUGGAGAUGUGUUCCUGUGCUCAGUAACAACAACUUAAAACUGAAAUCACAUUAAAACAUGCGAUGUGCCAGCUCUUCUGAGCCCUACUGUUAGACCCCUGUGCUCAUGGCCACAACAUGGGUGUGUGCAAUUUACUAUCAUGAAUUCUGCACCUGGCUUGAGGACCAACACAGCAGUGAGCAGCACAAACUGAAAUAGUUCUGAUGUGAGUGGUUUUCCUUUAUUUUUUAAUUGGCCUGUGAAAAAGUAGGAUGUGUCCUUCUGAACUGUGAGCAUAUGCCAUUUCUUAUUCUUAUUUUCUAUUAAAUGAGAAAAUCCUGAAGCCCUUUAUUUCCCCACACUUUUUCCCCUUUAAUUUUAUCCUUCUAAGCUCACUGUUUUGGAAAUAUAACUUUCAAAAGUGAUGUGUGAUUUUGGCUAACUGAAUCUCUGGCAACCCAAAAUGAGGAGUUGCUAAUGUUCACGGAGUGCUGAAUUUAUGUACUAUGGUGGCAGACAUGGUAAAGGCUAAUUAGUUUUGGACAUCCUGCACAUCAUGGCCUUUUAAUUUUUUUCUGUUAGAACUAGAUGGAAAAUUAAAAGACUGGACUGUGAGAUUUCUUGAAGUGGCAUGAUAUUACAGCUUUCAUCAAAUUUUUUUGUCAGAAAUUGCUGCUCUGUUGCUCAGAUUUUGUAAUCAUGAGAGGGAGUUUCUCAGAGAAGUCAAGUUUUUAUAUUUUUAGGUAAACCUAAGCAGAAAAAGAUGCUCUGAUUUUAAAGAGGGGAGAAAUAUUUUUUUGGGUCUGAUUUCAUAAAACACAAAGAUGCUAAAAGGCACACUUCUGCAAUGGAUGCAAAAAUCAUUUUUCAGCAUGUGAAACAACAGAAAAGACAAUCCUCUACAGCGCAGGGAAUCCAGCUUGAUGUUUCAGUGUGUUAGUAUUGUGAGUACUUGACAUAUGACGACAUUCUCUUCACUGUGUCAUAACUAUCAUUUGCCACAUUUCCUUUCAAAAUACAAAUAUUUCCUCAUAUCAGUACUCACAACCAACACUUGCCCCAAGAAGAAGCAGUCCUCCCUUCCCAUCAGCAAUUCAGUUGUGUCACUGGUAGCCAUUGCAGAAACUGGAAGAGGCUUACCUGCCCUGCCUCAUCCCUAUUCUUGCGCCAUUGAGCUGCCUCUGUCCAACUGUUGUAUGACCCAGCAGUAAAGAAUGUGAUGAAAUUUGUCAGGAUACAAAUGCUAGGUCCCUUUUCAGGGAUUUUAGUCAUGAAGAAUGACAGGCAAGUAUAAUGGAGGGCUAGAUAAAAGGCUGGGUAGAAAAACAGGACUCUUGCCUCAGCUUAGGAAAAAAUUUCACUUCCCAAGUUUUUCCCUGGAAUCCAGUGACUUGGGCUUUCUACAAAAAGAGAUAUAUUUGUCUUGAAACUGAAAUUGAAAUAUAUAGCUCAAGUGACAGUUUUUAUUUAAUCAAAAAUAUUAAAAUAUAAUUAAUAUAUUCACAAGCUUUCUGAAAAUUUAAAUAGAUAUUUUCAUUUAGCCUGGAAUCCAGUGAGGUAUCUUGGCCUCAUCCAGUGACUAACAGAAUUGGAAGACCUAGAAAUGCUUUAGUAUUAUUUCCAGUAGACUUUUUUUUAAUAUAAAGCCUGAUAUUUCUUCCUAAGACAUUUUCAAAAACUUAGCCAGAGCAGUAUUGGGUGCAGAAAGACUGAAAACUUCACUUGACAGUAAUGUUCUAGUGCACUGUAAACUAGCUACUGAAGAGAUUCCUUAAAAAAUAAAUUUUACUUAGACUGGUGCUGCAAAAUUUAAAAGCAAAAUGCCCAUGUGCUUUCUCGUGGGGCUUAUUGGACUCCACUAAAGUCAAAAGAAAGUAAUUCAUUUUCUGUGGUGGAUCAUCAGGGAAGCCCUUUAUGUUUAUAAGCUCCCUGUAAUCAAAGCAAAUCCCGGUAUAAUAAAUGUUCUGGAUAGAGCAUUGAUGUAAGUGUGACUUACUGAUAUGUGCACCAGGCAAAGUUUCUCCAUUUGUCUUCUAAGAAUAUCUUUUUGUUGGCUUUGUUUUGUUUAUUGAAGAUGAUUUUGUCAGCACAACUGUUGUCAAGUCUGUCUUUUACAAUCAUUUACCUCAUCUGAAAUUGCUUUGGAAGGCUCUUUUGUUUUACUAAUAGCCUAGAAACACUUCAGCACAUUUCCCCAAACCAAAUCAAAUCCAGCAGUCAACCUGAAAACAGACUUGGAGUUCUGCAUAUUAAGAAAUGGAAGGUGGAAGAACACACAAAUUAGUUAGGCUUAUAUUAAUAUAAAUUUUGCUGUAACGAAUGGAGAAUAUGCUCUUUAAAUUAAUAUAUGUUGUAGGAAACCAUUUGCAAUAUUCAAUGUGAAUUAAAUGACUUGCUCCUUGCACAUUGCAAAUAUCAAGAGAACAAUGAAUGCUGAGGAGGAACAAUUAAAAGUUGGGGAAUCCUUUCCUUUCCUUUCCUUUCCUUUCCUUUCCUUUCCUUUCCUUUCCUUUCCUUUCCUUUCCUUUCCUUUCCUUUCCUUUCCUUUCCUUUCCUUUCCUUCCUUUCCUUUCCUUUCCUUUCCUUUCCUUUCCUUUCCUUUCCUUUCCUUUCCUUUCCUUUCCUUUCCUUUCCUUUCCUUUCCUUUCCUUUCCUUU